CAAUCACUUGUCUCUUAAAUGGAGACCCGUAUGAAUGGCAUAACGAGGGCUUAACUGUCUCCUUUUUCCAGUCAAUGAAAUUGAUCUCCCCGUGCAGAAGCGGGGAUAUGAACAUAAGACGAGAAGACCCUAUGGAGCUUUAGACAACAAACAGACUAUGUAAGAAACCAAUAAAAGAUAAAACAAAUUAGCACCUGUUUCAAUGUCUUCGGUUGGGGCGACCGCGGGGAAAAAACCAACCCCCAUGUGGAAAGAGAGAAUUCUCUUAUAACCCAGAUAAACACAUCCAAGCACCAGAACAUCUGACCAAAAAUGAUCCGGUAAUACCGAUUAACGAACCAAGUUACCCUAGGGAUAACAGNGCAAUCCUCUCUUAGAGUCCA
rnacentral:rRNA from 1 species